rnacentral:rRNA from 1 species
AAUCAACGCUGGCGGCGUGCCUAACACAUGCAAGUCGAACGCGAAAGUCCCGCAAGGGAUUAGUAGAGUGGCAAACGGGUGAGUAACACGUGGGUGACCUGCCUUCGAGUGGGGGAUAACGUCCCGAAAGGGACGCUAAUACCGCAUAACAUCCUGCCUUUGAAGAGGUGGAGAUCAAAGCUGGGGACCGCAAGGCCUGGCGCUGGAAGAGGGGCCCGCGUCUGAUUAGCAGUUGGUGAGGUAACGGCUCACCAAGGCACGAUCAGUAUCCGGCCUGAGAGGGCGGACGGACACACUGGGACUGNGACACGGCCCAGACUCCUACGGGAGGCAGCAGUGGGGAAUUGUUCGCAAUGGGCGCAAGCCUGACGACGCAACGCCGCGUGGAGGAUGAAGACCUU